CUCCCAAUGGCAUUUGACAUCACUCUGAUCGUUCUGGGUGUUGGCGAGCUGAUUACAUCCAUCAUUGGUAUCGUCAUGGCUGGCAUGUCUGUCUACUCUAAGUCUCAGCACCAGACUAUGAUGCGCUACCAGACCCUACAGCAAGUGGAACUUGGGCAAGUGAACCAGGGAGUGGUGGGACACAAUCCUUCCGGCCAGCCAUAAGUUGAUUCACAGGCUUGAGCGCCACCAAGCGGUCAGUUUCGGAACGGGGAACUCGCUCAGUGGUUAAAAUACGACCUUUGGACUUAACGAAUCAUGACGUCACUUGCAGCGUUAAAGUAACUCUCAAACGUUUAUUAUCUGACCAAUGGGGCCAUGUAUGCAUUACUUUACAAUGUUUCAACAAUUCAUGGAGUUGGGUCUAAAGUCUGUAUAUUUUUACCUGAUAUAUACAUUAGGCCUAAGUAAUACAACAAUCAUAUUUUGCUAUUAAUGAAUCGUGAAUGUUCCAAAAUGAAGCGUCAAAUUGUACGGAUAAGAAUAUUAAAGAAAACCAUACUCAGAUUGUGCUAGUUAAUUAGAACAUUCAUAUUUAACAAUACAGUGUAUCAUUUUAGUAACCACGGAUUUGGUUUGGGAUCUGGCUUCGUAAUUUGGGUCUGUUUUAUGGCUGAGAGAAAGUGGCUGGAUGGGAUUCCUAGUUUUAUUCAGCAUGUAUUCUGAUGUCAGAAAUGGAAAGUCAUAGCCACUGCAGGGGCAUUUAAUUCAAUAUACAUUUGCUUGUAGCCAAACAAUAUUACUCAGACUGUUUACAGAAGGCCUUAUAGUCCUUAAAUUGCAAGAGUAUGUUAUCAAAUGAACAUUUAAACUAUAAUACUCCACAAAGCUAUGAGCUGGAAAGAUGGUUUGUGUCUUGUUGCUUUUUGCACGGAAGCAUAGGCCUAUAAUCGACGUGAGAGAAACGCAAUGUUAUUCAGAGUUUGUUUUAAGUGAUUCUUAUUAAAGUUAUGUAAUGCAUUUUCUAGUUUUCAUGUUUUCACAUCGCGUAGCUGCAAUCAGCUCAGUAAGAACGUGUCUCGGACGCUGAAUUCAGGCCCAAUUCAAAACACGAUUCAGCAACUUUUGAUUUGAA